CGUUUACUGUUUUUACAAGUAACAACAACAAAUGGCAUUUUUAUUUCCGGCACAUGUACGUACGCCACCACCCCGCUGCUUCGACCGGUCAGAGCUUGUUGGACUUGGCGAGGUAGAUGACGGCGCCGGAGGUGGCCGCCGGGAUGACGAUGUCGUCGGAAAUGGACUUGAGGCCCGGGACGACCCUCUUGGCGAGGAGCGCGCACACGGGCAGGCCGAAGAGGAAGGCGAGGAUGUCCACGGCCGCCCUGCCGAAGGUGAAGCUGUCCAUCUUCAGGAUCCCCGUCGCGAUCUUCUCGAACUGCUCCGGGGU
rnacentral:lncRNA from 1 species